rnacentral:rRNA from 1 species
CAGCAGCCGCGGGAAUACGAAGGGUGCAAGCGUUAAUCGGAAUUACUGGGCGUAAAGCGUGCGUAGGCGGUUUGUUAAGUCUGCUGUGAAAUCCCCGGGCUCAACCUGGGAAUGGCAGUGGAUACUGGCAAGCUAGAGUGUGUCAGAGGAUGGUGGAAUUCCCGGUGUAGCGGUGAAAUGCGUAGAGGUCGGGAGGAACAUCAGUGGCGAAGGCGGCCAUCUGGGACAACACUGACGCUGAGGCACGAAAGCGUGGGGAGCAAACAGGAUUAGAUACCCCGGUAGUCCCUGUCUCUUAUAC